rnacentral:rRNA from 1 species
AAAGGUGGGGGAUGACGUCAAAAUCAUCAUGCCCCCUUAUGACUCGGCGUACACACGUGUCUACAAUGGCUGUACAACGAAGUCGCGAGUCGGUGACGGCAAGCUAAUCUACUUAAAGCCAGUCUCAGUUCGGUAUUGUUAGGCUGCAACUCGCCUACAUGAAGUCGGAAUCGCUAGUAAAUCGCGGAUCAGCACGCCGCGGUGAAUACGUUCCCGGGCCUUGACACCNCCGCCCUCACCACCAGAGAGUUUGAACACCCGAAGUCGGUGAGGUAACCAUUUGGCGCCCAGGUCAGUAAGGGGCAUGAUGAUUUUGACUUCACUCCCCACCUUUGUCGUGGGGAGGCAAGGCACANAGGGGGA